GAGGGUAAAUCCCAGUGGCAGAGCAUGUGCUUAGCAUGUACAAGGUCCUGGGUUCAAUCCCCAGUCCCUCCA
rnacentral:tRNA from 1 species